rnacentral:tRNA from 1 species
GCUGUCGUGGUCCAGUGGCAAGAUCAUGGGAGGGACGGUUGCUGAACGCGGAAGCCCCAUGGACGUGAGCUCGAUUCUCGCCGGCAGUCA